AACGAACGCUGGCGGCAGGCUUAACACAUGCAAGUCGAACGCAUCCUUCGGGGUGAGUGGCAGACGGGUGAGUAACGCGUGGGAACGUGCCCUUCAGCUUGGAAUAACCCAGGGAAACUUGGGCUAAUACCGGAUACGCCCUAACGGGGAAAGAUUUAUCGCUGAAGGAUCGGCCCGCGUCUGAUUAGCUAGUUGGUGAGGUAAAGGCUCACCAAGGCGACGAUCAGUAGCUGGUCUGAGAGGAUGAUCAGCCACACUGGGACUGAGACACGGGCCAGGCUCCUACGGGAGGCAGCAGUGGGGAAUAUUGGACAAUGGGCGCAAGCCUGAUCCAGCCAUGCCGCGUGAGUGAUGAAGGCCUUAGGGUUGUAAAGCUCUUUCGGCGGGGACGAUAAUGACGGUACCCGGAGAAGAAGCCCCGGCUAACUUCGUGCCAGCCGCCGCGGUAA
rnacentral:rRNA from 1 species